rnacentral:misc_RNA from 1 species
UCAAACCUCAAGCAUUGCUUGGUAUUGGGUUUUCGUCUCUGCCUGUCUUUGUAUUGGUAGCGACGUGCCUGAAAGUUAAUGGCGGUGCCUCAAUAGACUCAAGCGAAGCAGACUGACUCGCUUUGGAGAACUUUUGUUGUACUGUUAACAAAACAAUCAAG